rnacentral:rRNA from 1 species
UGGAGAGUUUGAUCCUGGCUCAGGACGAACGCUGGCGGCGUGCUUAACACAUGCAAGUCGAACGAGAUCCAUGCAGUAGCAAUACUGCGGAAGAUCUAGUGGCGAACGGGUGCGUAACACGUGAGGAACUUGUCCCGGUCUCUGGGAUAACAGUUGGAAACGACUGCUAAUACCGGAUGACGUCGGAGCAUCGCAUGGUGCGCUGACGAAAGGGUUACUGGAUCGGGAGAGCCUCGCGGCCUAUCAGCUUGUUGGUGGGGUAACGGCCCACCAAGGCAUCGACGGGUAGCUGGUCUGAGAGGAUGAUCAGCCACACUGGGACUGAG